AUUUUGGCGUUUGGCAUACAGAGCACGAUCUGCCGCAUUUCAAUGGCAUUGAGACGAGGUGUGUGAGAAUAAUCCAAAGAGGCUGCACUACAUAAUUAAUCUAUGUGAUACUUUAAUCUGCAAGCUCUAGGGGAGGCUACAGGCUCUGCCUCCUCUAACCCAACCCCUCAUCUGCUCCCACGGUGCUAAAGUAACACAACAAUG